rnacentral:rRNA from 1 species
CUCAAAGGAAUAGACGGGGACCCGCACAAGUGGUUGAGCAUGUGCUUAAUUGGAAGAUACGCGAAGAACCUUACCUGGCCUUGACAUUGAUAGAAUCUGCUAGAGAUAGCGGAGUGCCCUUCGGGGAGCUUGAAAACAGGUGCUGCACGGCUGUCGUCAGCUCGUGUCGUGAGAUGUUGGGUUAAGUCCCGCAACGAGCGCAACCCUCGUCACUAGUUACUAACGGUUCGGCCGAGGACUCUAGUGAGACUGCCUUCGUAAGGAGGAGGAAGGUGAGGACGACGUCAAGUCAUCAUGGCCCUUACGGCCAGGGCGACACACGUGCUACAAUGGGAUGUACAAUGAGACGCAAUACCGCGAGGUGGAGCAAAUCUAUAAAGCAUCUCUCAGUUCGGAUUGUAGUCUGCAACUCGACUACAUGAAGCUGGAAUCACUAGUAAUCGUAGAUCAGCCAUGCUACGGUGAUACGUUCCCGGGUCUUGUACUCACCGCCCGUCACACCAUGGGAGUUGAUUUCACCCGAAGCGGGGAAGCUAAACUGGUACCCUCCACGGUGGAAUCAGCGACUG